AUGUGUGCCCCGAAGAGUUGGGGAGGUAUGGGAUUUCAUGAUAUCCAUAGUUUUAGUUUGGCUAUGUUAGCCAAACAAUGUUGGCGCCUCAUUGAUAAUUAUGAUUCCUUAUGUGCACGAGUUCUCAUAGUCAAAUAGUACCCCUGAGGUGAUUUGUUGAACUGUGCACUAAAGAAGGGAUCUUCAUGUGUUUGGGAGAGUAUUUGAGCAGGGAUUCAAACAUUCAAGAAAGGAUGCAUUUGA
rnacentral:rRNA from 1 species